UACGAAAGGGGCUAGCGUUGUUCGGAAUCACUGGGCGUAAAGCGCACGUAGGCGGAUCUUUAAGUCAGGGGUGAAAUCCCGAGGCUCAACCUCGGAACUGCCUUUGAUACUGGGGAUCUCGAGUCCGGGAGAGGUGAGUGGAACUGCGAGUGUAGAGGUGAAAUUCGUAGAUAUUCGCAAGAACACCAGUGGCGAAGGCGGCUCACUGGCCCGGAACUGACGCUGAGGUGCGAAAGCGUGGGGAGCAAACAGG
rnacentral:rRNA from 1 species